rnacentral:rRNA from 1 species
AACGAACGCUGGCGGCAUGCCUAACACAUGCAAGUCGAACGAAACCUUCGGGUCUUGUGGCGCACGGGUGCGUAACGCGUGGGAACCUGCCCUUAGGGUCGGAAUAACUCCCCGAAAGGGGUGCUAAUACCGGAUAAUGUCUACUGACCAAAGAUUUAUCGCCUUUGGAUGGGCCCGCGUUGGAUUAGCUAGUUGUUAGGGUAAAAGCCUACCAAGGCGCCGAUCCAUAACUGGUUUGAGAGAAUGAUCAGCGACACUGGGACUGAGAAGCGGCCCAGAAUCCUCCGCGAGGCAGCAAUGGCGGAUGUUGGAAAGUCGCCGAAAGCAUGAUGCAGCAAUGCUGCGAGAGUGAUGAAGGCCUUAGAGUUGUAAAGCUCUUUUACCCGGGAUGAUAAUGACGGUACCGGGAGAAUAAGCUCCGGCUAACUCCGUG